GGAAGUGGUAGCUUGGUGGUUAAGACGUCGGCCUCCUGAUCAGAAGAUUGAGAGUUCAAAUCCCUCCACUGCCA